GCCUGGGUGGCUCAGUCGGUUGAGCAUCUGACUUCGGCUCAGGUCAUGAUCUCACGGUGUGUGAGUUCGAGCCCCGCGUCAGGCU
rnacentral:tRNA from 1 species